rnacentral:rRNA from 1 species
GACGAACGCUGGCGGCGUGCUUAACACAUGCAAGUCGAACGGAAAGUCCCUUUUUUUGUUAGGUUCUCGUGUCGCAAACGGGUGUGUCACGUGUGAGUCUCCUCUCCCUGACAUUGGCAUAACUUCAGAACACUGGGGCAUAUAUCAGAUAGUGGUUCUUGCUCCUCGGUGAGUUAUGGAAACUUUCGGCGGUUUGGGAUGGACUCGCGGCUUAUCAGCUUGUUGGUGGGGUAGUGGCUUACCAAGGCUUUGAUGGGUAGCCGGCCUGAGAGGGUGACCGGCCACAUUGGGACUGAGAUACGGCCCAGACUCCUACGGGAGGCAGCAGUGGGGAAUAUUGCAAAAUGGGCGGAAGCCUGAUGCAGCAACGCCGCGUGCGGGAUAACGGCCUUCGGGUUGUAAACCGCUUUCGCCUGUGACGAAGCGUGAGUGACGGUAAUGGGUAAAGAAGCACCGGCUAACUACGUG